CGAGAACUUUGGAAACUUAAAAAGUCUAUAAAGUUUAAAUAUUUUAGAAACUCGAAAUCUGUAAAACUGUGUGAACCAUGAUCUUUGAAACUCUAUAUGAGCACUCUUGAGAUUCUAGAAGCUUAGGGAAAUCUAGAAUUACUAGAGAAUUUGAAGAAUAUAAAAAUUCUGAAAAUUCUAGAUUCUACAGAAAUUUUGGAAUCUCUGUAAACACGAAAGUUUUACAAAUUUAAAAACCUAGAAACUGUGAAAACUCCAGAAACCUUGAAAUGUGUAAACAAUUUAGAAGUUCUAAAAGUCUUGGGAACUAGAGAAACGCCUAAAACUCAAAAUCUUUGAAACUCCAGUGAAUACUUUAGAAACUCUAAAGGCAUUAAGGAUUCUACAAAUACUAGAAAAUGUAGGAAGUGUAGAAAUUUCGAAAAUUCUAGAUUCUGCGGAAAUUUU